rnacentral:rRNA from 1 species
CCUACGGGUGGCAGCAGUAGGGAAUCUUUCACAAUGGGCGAAAGCCUGAUGGAGCAACGCCGCGUGCAGGAUGAAGGCCUUCGGGUUGUAAACUGCUUUUAUAAGCGAGAAAUAUGAUGGUAACUUAUGAAUAAGGAUCGGCUAACUACGUGCCAGCAGCGGCGGUCAUACGUAGGAUCCGAGCAUUAUCCGGAGUGACUGGGUGUAAAGAGUUGCGUAGGUGGCAUAAUAAGUAGCUAGUGAAAUCUGGUGGCUCAACCAUUCAGACUAUUAGCUAAACUGUUAAGCUCGAGACCGUUAGAGGUAACUGGAAUUUCUAGUGUAGGAGUGAAAUCCGUAGAUAUUAGAAAGAACACCAAUAGCGUAGGCAGGUUGCUGGGACGGUUCUGACACUAAGGCACGAAAGCGUAGGGAGCAAACGGGAUUAGAUACCCUUGUAGUC